UGACUGAGGUGGCAGUGGCGGCGGUUGAGCCUGCACCCGGGUUCUGGCUCAUGGUUGGUCCUCCUCAUCCGACACAAAAGAGGAAGGAAUUUUUAUCUGGGAACAAUCUGAAAAGAGAGGUAACCAGCCUUGAAUUACAUCCAAGAAGAUAAGAGAAGAAAAGCCCCAUAGGCAAGAUAUGCUCAAGCAGAGAGAGAGCACACGGGAGGAGGAGCAGAGGGAGAGGGACAAGCAGACUCUGAACUGAAGGCUGAGCUGGAGGCAGGCUCUAUCUCUAGACCCUGAGAUCACAUCUUGAAUGGAAAUCCAGAGUUGAGAGUAUUCCAAGUAUCUAGGAUUCUGAGGAGAUAAGAUGGGGCCCUGAAAUUUCUCUUCUGAUAAUGGUGGGCAGAAAUGUCAACAAAUCAUUAAGUAUACAACAUGAUGGGAUGUAUAAAAGAGGCCUUUUAGGAAGAAUGAUUAUAUGUUGCUGCUUAUGAGAAACAUCCUGAGCUCAAAUGACCUUUGACUAUAAUUACUAAGGAACUCUCAGAAAAGAUCUUUUAUCUAAGGAGUCAUUAACAUGGUCUCUUAU